UGGGGAAUUUUGGACAAUGGGCGCAAGCCUGAUCCAGCCAUGCCGCGUGUGGGAAGAAGGCCUUCGGGUUGUAAACCACUUUUGUCAGGGAAGAAACGGCCUGAUCUAAUACAUUGGGUUAAUGACGGUACCUGAAGAAUAAGCACCGGCUAACUACGUGCCAGCAGCCGCGGUAAUACGUAGGGUGCGAGCGUUAAUCGGAAUUACUGGGCGUAAAGCGUGCGCAGGCGGCUUUGCAAGACAGAUGUGAAAUCCCCGGGCUCAACCUGGGAACUGCAUUUGUGACUGCAAGGCUAGAGUACGGUAGAGGGGGAUGGAAUUCCGCGUGUAGCAGUGAAAUGCGUAGAUAUGCGGAGGAACACCGAUGGCGAAGGCAAUCCCCUGGACCUGUACUGACGCUCAUGCACGAAAGCGUGGGGAGCAAACAGGAUUAGAUACCCCCGUAGUCCCUGAGCGGGCUGGCAAGGCGCAU
rnacentral:rRNA from 1 species